UACGAGGAGGGCUAGCGUUGCUCGGAAUUACUGGGCGUAAAGCGUGCGUAGGCGGUUUCAUAAGCUUGAUGUGAAAGCCCCGGGCUUAACCUGGGAAUGGCAUUUGGGACUGCAAGGCUCGAGUGCGGCAGAGGAGACUGGAAUUCCUGGUGUAGCAGUGAAAUGCGUAGAUAUCAGGAGGAACACCGAUGGCGAAGGCAGGUCUCUGGGCUGACACUGACGCUCAUGCACGAAAGCGUG
rnacentral:rRNA from 1 species